GAGAAUACCAUCCUAUCAUACUACAUCAUAGUCAUCUCAAAAUCUAUGUUGUCAUUCAAGACAAACCAUUAUAAGCUCCUAGCUAAUUAAGCAUGGUAUCAGAAACUAUGAUCUCUAAGUUGUCAUUGCAAACAUGGUUCUCUCACAGCAAAGCUGAAUCUGGGACGAAAAGCUAGUCAUAUUUACAAAAACAAAAUAGAUCGAGUUCAUACCAGCUUUUCCAGUCUCAGUCACUUCAUCAUAUAUCAUCAUUAUUGCCUUUCACUUGCACGAUCGAACGAUGUGAACAAUAAUAAGAGUGCUCGUGCAUUGGACUAAGCUGAAUCUGCAGGCAAACACAAAGGAGAAGACAAAGUAAUAUGGCUCUUUGAAAGCUAAACAGGUAUGCAUACAAGAGCCACUAAACAUUGUAACCAAUAUCUUCUACCUUGACCCAAAGAAAAAGAAUACUAU
rnacentral:lncRNA from 1 species